AUUAUAGAUUAUAUUAUAUUAUAAGAGAACAUUUUAUGGCCGUUUUUCUAAUAAAACUACAGUGUAAAUUUGUAUUAUAAUUAUCAAUUACAUAAAGUGAUGAAAAAAAACACCCUAGCACGAGCAGUUGAUAUGUUGCGCUGGCGUAGCAAUCAAAGUAUAUAUUAUUGUCCGGCCGAAAAACGUUACGACGGAAGAGAUAAUCGGCAAGCGGCAGGCGAAUUUUAAAAACGUGUUAUGGUUGGUUCAUUUAAAUAGCUGCCACCCCACUACCACAAUACAUGCAUUCUUAUCAUAGACCUUAUAUUAAUAGACGGCAAGUUUUAUAGAUUAUACAGGUUGCCUCAUAGUCUCCUAAAUAUUUCGAUCACCCCGUACCAUUCCUUGUCUACUGAUAUCACCAGAAGUAUAAAAUUUGCAGCGGCGUAUUAAAAAUGCAUAUGAACAGUAGGUGCAUUACUACAUUACAGAUGAAUCCAAAGCCGUAUCUGUGGAGGGGUCUACGGGGUUCGGAUUCCCCCCGAAUAAAUAUCCACAAAUAUACAUGAAGCAAUUUAAUUCAAAUAACUUAAGAGGUCGAUAAUAUUUGGAAUCUAUUGUGGACCUACCAAGGAUUCCCAAACAGAUGGUCUCCUGCAGGACUUCACCGAUCAUAAGCAAUACCAUCCUCAGCGUGACAACGGCCGCGAACCACCAGAAUUGCAACGAAGCAAAGGUUUCGGCGUCGGACAUCUCACCAGUCGACGAAGUGGC